rnacentral:rRNA from 1 species
GAUGAACGCUGACAGAAUGCUUAACACAUGCAAGUCUUUGGCGAAGCUGUGCUUGCACAGCCUAGCCAAGGCGGACGGGUGAGUAACGCGUAAGGAACUUGCCCUGCAGUCAGGGAUAACAGACGGAAACGACUGAUAAGACCUGGUAAAGUCAGGCGGACUCAUGUCCAGCCUGAUGAAAAGAGAUGCUGCAGGAGAGCCUUGCGUCCUAUUAGCUUGUUGGUGGGGUAACGGCCCACCAAGGCGAUGAUAGGUAGCCGGCCUGAGAGGGUGGACGGCCACAAGGGGACUGAGAUACGGCCCUUACUCCUACGGGAGGCAGCAGGUGGGAAUAAUGGAAAAUUGGGGCAACCCUGAUCCAGCAAUUCUGUGUGCACGAUGAAGGUUUUCGGAUUGUAAAGUGCUUUCAGCAGGGAAGAAAAAAAUGACGGUACCUGCAGAAGAAGCGACGGCUAAAUACGUG